GAGAAAAUAAACAAGGUGUGGGGAGUACCCAUCCCCUCGCCCACUCAGCUCCAGACCCGCACACAAUGUCUGACUUCAGAGGAAGCGUUGGGAUCUCCCUGGGAGGGAGCAGACGCAGAAGCAAAAUCUCCACUCGUGAAAACAUGCUUGUCUCCCUUCUGAAGUGUGAACACGACUGGCACCAGAGCUGCUCCAGAUAUCACUUCUUGAUGCAGAGAACUGGGAGACACCUUCAGCCACCUCUCUCCCAGCAUGAGUGUCCAGAGCAAGUGGUGCCACCCAAAGGCACCUGCUCUUCCCAGGAGGAGAAGGAAGAGGCUGAUUCUGGGGUUUCUCCUGUGGCCAGUCAAGGCAGCCUGGCCUGCUUGACGAAGCCCUCUGCCACAGCAGGGCACCAGGCACCACGCGAAGGUUGCUCCACGAGCCUCUUUAUUCCAGCUUGAUGAUUACAUCCAUUUUCCGGACCAGAAAACUGAGGUGCCACCUCUACCACCAGAAAGAGAAAACCAACUAUCUUUAACCAUAAAACAACCCGAAGAGCUAGGUACUGUUAUUUUUCCAGAUGAGAAGCAAGCGCAGGGAGGUGAACUUGCGCACAUUCGCGCAACUAUGAAGUGCUGGGGCCGAGACAGCCCUCACCAGGUUCACAGCGGCUGCAGGCUCCAACUACAAAAUCCUCGGAUGGCACAGAGGCAGCAGGAAGGACCCCACAACGUCCCCGCGAG
rnacentral:lncRNA from 1 species